UACGUAGGGGGCUAGCGUUGUCCGGAUUUAUUGGGCGUAAAGCGCGUGUAGGCGGCCAGGUAGGUCUGCUGUGAAAACUCGAGGCUCAACCUCGAGAUGUCGGCGGAAACCAUCUGGCUAGAGUCCGGAAGAGGAGAGUGGAAUUCCCGGUGUAGCGGUGAAAUGCGCAGAUAUCUGGAAGAACACCAGUGGCGAAGGCGGUCAACUGGCUCUUAACUGACGCUCAUGCACGAAAGCGUGGGUAGCGAACAGG
rnacentral:rRNA from 1 species